rnacentral:rRNA from 1 species
GACGAACGCUGGCGGCGUGCCUAAUACAUGCAAGUAGAACGCUGAAGAGAGGAGCUUGCUCUUCUUGGACGAGUUGCGAACGGGUGAGUAACGCGUAGGUAACCUGCCUUGUAGCGGGGGAUAACUAUUGGAAACGAUAGCUAAUACCGCAUAACAAUAGGUGACACAUGUCAUUUAUUUGAAAGGGGCAAUUGCUCCACUACAAGAUGGACCUGCGUUGUAUUAGCUAGUAGGUGAGGUAACGGCUCACCUAGGCGACGAUACAUAGCCGACCUGAGAGGGUGAUCGGCCACACUGGGACCGAGACACGGCCCAGACUCCUACGGGAGGCAGCAGUAGGGAAUCUUCGGCAAUGGGGGCAACCCUGACCGAGCAACGCCGCGUGAGUGAAGAAGGUUUUCGGAUCGUAAAGCUCUGUUGUAAGUCAAGAACGAGUGUGAGGGUGGAAAGUUCACACUGUGACGGUAGCUUACCAGAAAGGGACGGCUAACUACGUGCCAGCAGCCGCGGUAAUACGUAGGUCCCGAGCGUUGUCCGGAUUUAUUGGGCGUAAAGCGAGCGCAGGCGGUUUGAUAAGUCUGAAGUUAAAGGCUGUGGCUCAACCAUAGUUCGCUUUGGAAACUGUCAAACUUGAGUGCAGAAGGGGAGAGUGGAAUUCCAUGUGUAGCGGUGAAAUGCGUAGAUAUAUGGAGGAACACCGGUGGCGAAAGCGGCUCUCUGGUCUGUAACUGACGCUGAGGCUCGAAAGCGUGGGGAGCGAACAGG